CUCCCCGCCCCCCAGGACUGCUCAGUUCCCCGCGGGGCACAGAGAGGAGGGGCUGGAGGUCUCGGGGUUCCUCCCCAGACUUGCCCAGACUUAGCUGGCAGUUACGCAACGGGAGAGCGGGACCCGGGCGUGGUCCGUCUACGCCUGGACGCUUCUCCCUAAGAAUCUCGAGAAUUGGACACCUUUUCUGCAGUCUACCCCAGCGUGGCUAGGAGAAGAAUUUACCAACUCAAAUCUGGCCCAAGCGUGGACCGUCUAGAUAAGGAAGCGGAUCACAAAAACAAAUUGAAACUCGUCACUUCUUAUCAGGAAAUGUGUAAAAUGAGAAAAAGAAAGAGAGGACGGAGGCCAGAGCAGAAGCCAGUGGAGCCUGAGAAGGAGCUGCAGUGGAACAGAAGGAAGCCUCAGGUUGAGAUGAUGACAUUACAAGAUGAAAAUAGCAUGGAUCACUGGAAGCAAGCUGCCUUGGGGAGCCACUUGACCUGCAGUGGACGUUGCAUGAGAAAGAAAUGUACUUUUAAGUGAUCGGCCACUGACGUUCAGAUGAAGAGGAUAAAUGGGUCCAGAAAUAGGAAUUGUAUGAUGCUGGUGUAUGAUCUAUUGAUGCUGGACGUGGAGGAGAACCAAGAGUCAAGACAUGGAUUGAAAACGAAAAGAUGAAAAAGCUCACAAGAAGACAACAGGGGCCAGCUCCAAGGCUCAGUGUGUCUAGAGAAGAGGUGAAGUCCUCAGUGGCAGCCUGUUUCUUUUCGGUAAUAAUCUCCCUAGGUGCUGUAAUAGAGAGAAGGAAAUGAAACUGAGAAGGGGUAGAGAAAUUCUGCAGUGGUAACAGGUUUGUGUGCAACAUACGUAUCCUUCAUUUAGGAAGAAACCCUCGGAAUUAGGUGGAGCUGAUAUAAAAUAAGACCUGUGAACUCAAGAGGCCCACAGAAGGUGAACAUUUCCUUAGGGUUGAUAAUGGCCUGAGUAUAUUCACUCUGUGGUCAGGGGCAUGGAAGAGUUGGGCUGCUUAUUGUGUUCUUACUACGUGGACCAGAACAGAGUGGUUUGAGCCCCCUGAUCAGAAGAUAAAGAAAAGAGAAAACUUCAGCUGCUUUAUGUAACCCCAAUCUGGUACUCUCUGGCACAAAAUUCCCAAGGUAUUUGUGGAGGUUUCAGGGGUCCUCUGAAAGACGCCAAAGACUUUUCCAAAGGAAAUGAAGCAGUUGAGGUGAAGGGUCCAGUAAGCCAUUGCUUGCCGCUGUGCAUCUUGUACAGUGCAUAAAGACACCCAGAUAAGGGGCCCUACCUCCCCAUUGCCAAGCCUUGUGCUCUGCCUGAGACUUCAUCCACUCAGAGAGAAAGUUGGUCCACCUAGGGGGAACUCUUUCUAAAAUUUGCAUUAAGGCUUUAUAAAAGAUAGUGGUGACCCAGGGGUCCAGUCAUUUUUCUCUAAGGCCCAGCCAACACUUAUCCUCACACUAUGAACCCUAUAUAUAAGGCCAACAUUUAAUCUUUAAAUUUACUUAGGUAGACAAAAUAUUGUAUGCUUCUUACAUUACCACAGUUUGCUUAAAUCAUAAAAUUUAUUUAUAUGGUAAGAUUGUUUUAUCACAAAGAAUAUCAACUAGGUAUUAAUAAAAAAAAAUAAAAAUUUGUGUUUAGAUGAGAAAAUAAGCUCUUCUACUUUUAUUGAGUUUAUUUUUAUGUCAUUCUUUGGGGGAGAUAUCUUGACCCUAACUCUCAAAGGUUCAUUAAACCAGGCCAGUCUUCGUCUCUUUAAAUGUUACUUUAUGGUCCUGAAAUUCCUUUGGUUACUAAUCCUACAACAGUUCACCAGGGGAACUUAUUUGCAACAUUUGUCCCAAGAAGCUGCCUUCAUUUACUCAUGGGCUGGUAUUAUUUCAAAUGGAACACUGGAAUGUUGGAAAGUCACAUACCAGAAAGAUAAUAUAAGUUUGUGGUUAUAUAGGGCGCUUAGAGUUAACAAUCUUUGAGCAGCUGUAUGAGUGUACUAGCAGAGUAGACCUGGGUAAGCUCCCUGGCCUCCCUGUGCCUUAGUUUCUCGUUGUGAAAUUGAAUUUACCUUAUAUGGUUGCUACAGAAAUUAACUAAGAAAAGAAAUGUAAAGUGUUUAGGCCUCC